rnacentral:piRNA from 1 species
UGUGAUCAUCAGUCAAUACCC